rnacentral:sRNA from 1 species
AUGAUUUUUAAAAGUAUUUUUUGGCUGAGAAAAAAUUUGUUACGAAAAAAAAUUUGGCGGGAAUUUUUUUUUUGCCAGGAAAAAAGUUUGGCAAAAAUUUUUUUUUUGGCGGAAAAAUUUCAGUUUCCAAUUACAUGUUUCUAUUAGAUGAGGGUAAUUUGGUCAUUUUGUUCAAGAGAAAGGGUAUUUUUAAAAAUUGACAACAUAAAAGGGUAUUGUUGCAAAUGAGUAGUAAAAAAUGAGUAGCUUUGCAAAUCAAAACAAAUAAAACGUUUCAUGGUAUAAUGUUAUUUAAUAACAAUUGUAAGCCAUACAAUAUAAAUGUCUAAGAGAAAACACUAUACAGUUUCCAAAGUUUUAUCUAUAAUAAAUAGUCAUU